rnacentral:rRNA from 1 species
GAUGAACGCUGGCGGCGUGCUUAACACAUGCAAGUCGAACGGUAAGGCCCUUCGGGGUACACGAGUGGCGAACGGGUGAGUAACACGUGGGUGAUCUGCCCUGCACUUCGGGAUAAGCCUGGGAAACUGGGUCUAAUACCGGAUAGGACUCCUGGCUUCAUGGUUGGGGGUGGAAAGCUUUUGCGGUGUGGGAUGGGCCCGCGGCCUAUCAGCUUGUUGGGGGGGUAAUGGCCUACCAAGGCGACGACGGGUAGCCGGCCUGAGGGGGUGACCGGGGACACUGGGACUGAGAUAGGGCCCAGACGCGUACGGGAGGCAGCAGUGGGGAAUAUUGCACAGCGGGCGCAAGCCUGAUGCAGCGACGCCGCGUGCGGGAUGCCGGCCUUCGGGUUGUAAACCUCUUUCAGCUAUGACGAAGCGGAAGUGACGGUAGUAGCAGAAGAAGGACCGGCCAACUACGUGCCAGCAGCCGCAGUAA